rnacentral:lncRNA from 1 species
AUGAGGAAAGGCUGAGAGAGCUUGGCCUGUUUAGCCUGGAGAAGAGAAGGCUGAGAGGGGAUCUUAUUAACGUGUACAAGUAUCUGAAGGGAGGGUGUCAAGAGGAUGGGACCAGACUCUUUUCAGUGGUGCCGAGUGACAGGACGCGAGGCAAUGGGCACAAACUGAAACACAGACAGUUCCAUCUGAACAUGAGGAAAAACUUUUUCACUGUGAGGGUGACAGAGCACUGGAACAGGUUGCCCAGAGAGCUUGUGGAGUCUCCUUCUCUGGAGAUAUUCAACACGCGCCUGGAUGCAAUCCUGUGCAACGUGCUCUAGGUGACCCUGCUUGAGCAUGGGGGUUGGACUAGAUGAUCUCCAGAGGUCCCUUCCAACCUCAGCGAUUCUGUGAUUCUGUGAAUCAAAUCUUCUGCAUGGUAGCAGAAAAUUGAUAGUUUUCACGUAAUCGUUUUUCAUUGACCUACCUGAAAUUUUUAUCUGGAGUCCAUUUGCUGGAAUGGUGUGCAUAUUACAAAAAUGGCCACUGUCAUUGCUGCUGUUGACAAUUUCAGCAGAGCAGUCAAAGAGGAACAGUGCUUGGAGACUUAAUUAUCCUCACUCUCAUUUUUAGGUCUUACUUCUCCAGGCAGCCUGAUGCAGAAAGGGUGCUGGCUUGCUUUUAUCACAUCAAAGCCUGAUAACAGCAAUUCUGUGCUUACCAACCUCCCUCAUGAGCGUAUACAGCAUCCACAGAUGCCUUUGAAGACUUCUGCUGAGGAUCAUGGACCAUGUCCUAGUUCUCUAAUCCUGCAAGGAGAUAACAGUCCCACAAUGGAGGAAAUGGGCAAAAGUGAUGGAAUCAGUGAGCUGAAACAUCUGCACAUCACCAGCAGCUGCCACUGCCCUCAAGGAAAUCUUCCAGAGAAGUCCUUUGAAGGCAAAUUGCUUACCCAAAAAAGCACUUGGAUAAGUGAAGGAUACAGGAGAGUAGAAGAGAGAUCCCAAGAUAUAUUAUGGCCUGCAGAGGACAGUGGUUAUUUACAAGUAUCUCUAGAGCAGGACAGUCAUCUCUCUGAAAAAAUGUGGGGCUGA